GCCCCCUCUUAAUCAAACUGCUUAUAGAUCCAACAAACAGCAAGCUCAUCAUUUUCAAAAAUUCUGGUUCCGCCACUGGUCAUUGAAUGAGAAAUCAAAAAGAGGAAAAAAAUAGGUCCGUGUGUUUGUUUAUCUAAUGAUAUCUUAAUGAACAACUUCUCUAUUCAUUUUACAUCGGAUGACCGUGAGGGCAUUCAUGUGUAUUGCUGUCGCCUAAAUUUCCAUUACGUAACCUUCGUUUUGAGAUUGUAACCGAUCUAUAAACAUGAUAAUAAUAAAUACGCGGACAUUAUCGAGUGCAAAAUUACAUUCUAUCACUUGUUCUUAAUUCAUUUUAA
rnacentral:lncRNA from 1 species